GGAUAGUCGAAAAGUCCAAGCAUGAUCAACAAGGAAGAGAUUGGAGUGUUUGGCGAUAAAACCAGAAGUGGAAAGUAGCCUUCUUUGGCGGCCAUCUUCAAUAGGCUCAAUCUGGAGAUAGUGGCCGCCGUCGAAAGUAUCGGAAGAGAGCUUCUGAAAGAGAAGCUUGUAGAGUGACUGAGGGAUGCCGGCGGCCGCUAGAAGUACGCCGUGGACCUUAACAAAAUCGUCCAAGGAUUGAAGUUUGUUCAUUUCUACUGAGUUUUGAC
rnacentral:misc_RNA from 1 species